UUUAAAAGAACAGCAUUUAUUCGAAAUUCAAAAGCUGUGUGAAAAAACAAAGAUGAGUACAGAAAUGUCUCAGCUUGUCCUGCAGGUGUGUUUGCAAACAGAAGCAGAGGGUCUGAGAUCAGAGCUGAAUGCCUGUUGUGAGAGAGAGAAGAUGCUGACACAAACACUGCAUUCUGAGAGAGAGAGAGAGACUGACUCAGGACGCCCAGACACUGCUCACACAGCUCAACAGCACCAGAGAGAGAAACAACCAGCUUGUGUCAACCCUUAACAACCAGCGGGAGAGCUUGUUGGCAGAACUACAGACCAGCAGAGAGGAGCUUGAAUGAUUUCGAGAGAAUGUGUCACUUACCCUCAGCCAGCUCAAGACUGUAAAGGCUGAACUGAUGUCACACUUACAAGACACAAAAAUUUCCUAUGAAAAGGUAACCUAAGACAUAUA